rnacentral:rRNA from 1 species
AACUGUUGCAAUAGUUCGGGAUGACUUGUGGCUAGGGGUGAAAGGCCAAUCAAACUCGGAAAUAGCUGGUUCUCCGCGAAAUCUAUUUAGGUAGAGCGUCGACCGAAUACCCCAGGGGGUAGAGCACUGGAUGGGCUAGGGGAUCUCACCGAUUUACCAAACCUAACCAAACUCCGAAUACCUGGGAGUACUAGUCGGCAGACACACGGCGGGUGCUAACGUCCGUCGUGAAAAGGGAAACAACCCUGACCUACAGCUAAGGUCCCCAAGUUAUGGCUAAGUGGGAAAGGAUGUGAGGAUCCCAAAACAACCAGGAUGUUGGCUUAGAAGCAGCCAUCAUUUAAAGAAAGCGUAACAGCUCACUGGUCUAAAUAAGGGUCUUUGCGCCGAAAAUGUACCGGGGCUAAAGCCAUACACCGAAGCUUAGGGUUUGCAGCUUGCUGCAAGCGGUAGCGGAGCGUUCUGUAAGCUGACGAAGCCGUACCUGUGAGGGGCGGUGGAGGUAUCAGAAGUGCGAAUGCUGACAUGAGUAACGUAAGGGGUGUGAGAGACACCCCCGCCGAAAGUCCAAGGGUUCCUGCUUAAAGCUAAUCUGAGCAGGGUUAGCCGGCCCCUAAGUCGAGGCAGAAAUGCGUAGACGAUGGGAACCACGUUAAUAUUCGUGGGCCUGGAGGAAGUGACGGAUCACGUAUGUUGUGGGGUCUUAUUGGAUUGAUCCCUGCAGCGGAGUGGUUCCAGGAAAUAGCUCCUCCUUAUAGACCGUACCCGAAACCGACACUGGUGGACUGGUAGAGUAUACCAAGGCGCUUGAGAGAACUAUGCUGAAGGAACUCGGCAAAUUGCACGCGUAACUUCGGAAGAAGCGUGACCCUUUCCUGCGCAAGCAGGGUGAGGGUGGCACAGACCAGGGGGUAGCGACUGUUUAUCAAAAACACAGGGCUCUGCGAAGUCGCAAGACGACGUAUAGGGUCUGACGCCUGCCCGGUGCUGGAAGGUUAAGAGGAGAGGUGCAAGCUUUGAAUCGAAGCCCCAGUAAACGGCGGCCGUAACUAUAACGGUCCUAAGGUAGCGAAAUUCCUUGUCGGGUAAGUUCCGACCUGCACGAAUGGCGUAACGACUUCCCCGCUGUCUCCAGCAUAGACUCAGUGAAAUUGAAUUCCCCGUGAAGAUGCGGGGUUCCUGCGGUUAGACGGAAAGACCCCGUGCACCUUUACUAUAGCUUUACAUUGGCAUUCGUAGUGGCAUGUGUAGGAUAGGUGGUAGGCUUUGAAGCCAGGGCGCCAGCCUUGGUGGAGCCACCCUUGAAAUACCACCCUUAUCUCUAUGGAUGUCUAACCGCGGCCCGUUAUCCGGGUCCGGGACAAUGUAUGGUGGGUAGUUUGACUGGGGGGGCGGUCGCCUCCUAAAGAGUAACGGAGGCGCGCGAUGGUGGGCUCAGACCGGUCGGAAAUCGGUCGUCGAGUGCAAUGGCAUAAGCCCGCCUGACUGCGAGACUGACAAGUCGAGCAGAGACGAAAGUCGGUCAUAGUGAUCCGGUGGUCCCGUGUGGAAGGGCCAUCGCUCAACGGAUAAAAGGUACGCCGGGGAUAACAGGCUGAUGACCCCCAAGAGUCCAUAUCGACGGGGUUGUUUGGCACCUCGAUGUCGACUCAUCGCAUCCUGGGGCUGGAGCAGGUCCCAAGGGUAUGGCUGUUCGCCAUUUAAAGCGGUACGUGAGUUGGGUUCAGAACGUCGUGAGACAGUUCGGUCCCUAUCUGCCGUGGGUGUAGGAAUAUUGAAAGGAUCUGUCCCUAGUACGAGAGGACCGGGAUGGACGGAUCUCUGGUGGACCUGUUGUGGCGCCAGCCGCAUAGCAGGGUAGCUAUAUCCGGACGGGAUAACCGCUGAAGGCAUCUAAGCGGGAAACCCACCUUAAAACGAGUAUUCCCUGAGAACCGUGGAAGACGACCACGUUGAUAGGCCGGGUGUGGAAGUGCGGCAACGCAUGAAGCUUACCGGUACUAAUAGUUCGAUAGGCUUGAUCGU